CCAGGGGGCGCUCUAGCAGCACAUCAUGUUUUGCAGGUGUGAUCAUUACAAAUCAUGAUGUGCUGCCUCUGUGAGCUCUGG
rfam:Oryzias latipes DNA, chromosome18, strain: Hd-rR.